GACGAACGCUGGCGGCGUGCUUAACACAUGCAAGUCGAACGCUGAAGCUCAGCUUGCUGGGUGGAUGAGUGGCGAACGGGUGAGUAACACGUGAGUAACCUGCCCUCUUCUUUGGGAUAACGCCCGGAAACGGGUGCUAAUACUGGAUAUUCACUGAUUCUCGCAUGGGGGUUGGUGGAAAGGUUUUUUCUGGUGGGGGAUGGGCUCGCGGCCUAUCAGCUUGUUGGUGGGGUGAUGGCCUACCAAGGCUUUGACGGGUAGCCGGCCUGAGAGGGUGACCGGGCACAUUGGGACUGAGAUACGGCCCAGACUCCUGCGGGAGGCAGCAGUGGGGAAUAUUGCACAAUGGGCGAAAGCCUGAUGCAGCGACGCCGCGUGAGGGAUGGAGGCCUUCGGGUUGUAAACCUCUUUCGCUCAUGGUCAAGCCGCAGCUUUGGGUUGUGGUGAGGGUAGUGGGUAAAGAAGCGCCGGCUAACUACGUG
rnacentral:rRNA from 1 species